GAUAAACGCUGGCGGCGUGCCUAACACAUGCAAGUCGAACGCCCUUUUGCGCAAGUGAGAGGGAGUGGCGGACGGGUGAGUACCACGUGGGUACCUACCUUGAGGUGAGGAAUACCACCGAGAAAGUCGGUGACAAGACCGCAUACGCUUGGCAACAAGCAAAGUCUCGACAAGAGACGCCACAAGAUGGGCCUGCGCCUGAUUAGCUAGUUGGUGAGGUAAUGGCUACCAAGGCGACGAUCAGUAGCUGGUCUGAGAGGAUGAUCAGCCACACUGGGAUUGAGAACGGCCCAGACUCCGUACGGGG
rnacentral:rRNA from 1 species